GGGUCUGCGUCUCAUUAGCUAGUUGGUAGGGUAAUGGCCUACCAAGGCAACGAUGAGUAGCUGGUCUGAGAGGAUGAUCAGCCACACUGGAACUGAAACACGGUCCAGACUCCUACGGGAGGCAGCAGUGGGGAAUAUUGCGCAAUGGGCGAAAGCCUGACGCAGCAACGCCGUGUGAGGGAUGAAGGCUUUCGGGUCGUAAACCUCUGUCGGAAGGGAAGAACGGGCAUUGGUCUAAUAGGCCUUUGUUUUGACGGUACCUUUAGAGGAAGCACCGGCUAACUCCGUGCCAGCAGCCGCGGUAAUACGGAGGGUGCAAGCGUUAUUCGGAAUUACUGGGCGUAAAGCGCACGUAGGCCGCUUUGUAAGUCAGGGGUGAAAUCCCACGGCUCAACCGUGGAACUGCCUUUGAAACUGCAGAGCUUGAAUCCUGGAGAGGGUGGCGGAAUUCCUGGUGUAGGAGUGAAAUCCGUAGAUACCAGGAGGAAUACCAGUGGCGAAGGCGGCUUUCUGGACUGACCCUGACGCUGAGGUGCGAAAGCGUGGGUAGCAAACAGGAUUAGAUACCCUGGUAGUCCACGCCGUAAACGAUGAACGCUAGAUGUCGGAG
rnacentral:rRNA from 1 species